rnacentral:rRNA from 1 species
UACGAAGGGGCUAGCGUUGCUCGGAAUCACUGGGCGUAAAGGGCGCGUAGGCGGCGUUUUAAGUCGGGGUGAAAGCCUGUGGCUCAACCACAGAAUGGCCUCGAUACUGGGACGCUUGAGUAUGGUAGAGGUUGGUGGAACUGCGAGUGUAGAGGUGAAAUUCGUAGAUAUUCGCAAGAACACCGGUGGCGAAGGCGGCCAACUGGACCAUUACUGACGCUGAGGCGCGAAAGCGUGGGGAGCAAACAG